ensembl:lncRNA
CACGACCCCACACACCAGUGUGCUGGGUUGACUUUUGACUCCAGGAUGAUCCCCCCGUCAUGCCACAGACCGAUUACGCCCCUGCGUCUCCCAAGCUGGAGUUUAAGUCCGCUCCCCACACUCCAGGAACUGAGAGAUGGCAAACAAUCACCAGUGUGAGGAGGAAACAAUUAUUUGUAGUGUUAUUCUACCACAAUACUUAUAAAUGUGUAGAUGCUGGGUAAAGACUUAGAUAAUAGAAGGAUUCAUGAGUUUGUGGUGUGUCAUUGUGUCUCAUUGUGACAAGGUAAAACUAAAACAUAGACAGCAAAAUAUAAUUAAAGAGGAAGUUAAUUAAGGUUGGGUUUUUAAUUCUUUAAUGAUCUCAAUCUUUACGUUGCUUUUCAUCCCUAGCCCACGCCUGUAUAUUCCUCCCCCCACCAUAUUUCAAGUGGACAAAAAGCUUUAGGAAAGAAUCUCAGUCUCGCUCUAGAUGGUCCACACCAGAUCCCACAAAAAAAAGAUCCACAGAUGAUGCAAUCUCUAUUGCACUUCACGCUGCCCUUUCGCACCUGGAC